rnacentral:tRNA from 1 species
UCUAAUAUGGCAGAUUAGUGCAAUGAAUUUAAGCUUCAUAUAUAAAGAUAUUUAAACCUUUUAUUAGAA